GCCCGUGUAGCUCAGUGGUAGAGCAUUGUACUUAUGAGGUUAACUGGCCACUUACAUACUAAAAUGCAAGGGUCCCGAGUUCAAUCCUCGGCAUGGGCA
rnacentral:tRNA from 1 species